ensembl:lncRNA
CACAACGCUGUUACAGUGGAGCAGUUGAGCACACUGACAGUUCUGCAGUGUUGAUCUGAUGGAUAGCUCUGAAGAGAUAACUGCAUAAACUACUUAGAGGAGCCAUCAGAAUUGAGAUCUCUAGCUCUAUGGGGCAGGUCUCUGUCACUUGAACUAGUGGAAUAAAUACAGAUGUUGCUAAACAGUGCCAUCCUUCGUGUGCGACACAUAUUCAAAGGUCUUGGGGUCCUCAAAUAUCCUCCCUGAAUCUUCCAAAAGGAGAGAAGCCAGGCCUGCAAAACACAAAUGGGAAAAAAAGGUAAUAGUCUGCAUUUUAGGAUAUUAAUUCAAGGCUAAGGGGCAAAAAUACAUGUAACAAGUAUUGCCUGCCACAGAAAUAAAGGAAUCUAAGUCAAACUGUCCUGCUGAAUCACUCCAUAACCUCUGGUUUUAACACUGAAUUGCACAUUGAGUACAAACACAAAUUAAAAUAAAAAUUAAGUUAUUAAAAAAAGAUUUCAUUUUCCCAAACCUGGAAAAGAAUCAUAAAUUAUUUUACAAACCCACCUGUCCUUACCUUGC